rnacentral:lncRNA from 10 species
AGGAUCUCUUCCCCACCCACCCAAAUGACGCCCUCGGUCUGUUUCCGCUGGGAUCCGGAGAAGCUGACCCUCUCACCGGGGGGUCUUCCCGGGGCGCCUAGGCCAGGGCGGGCCCCCAGCGUCGUCCUCUCCCACCCCCCCACUCCCCUGCCCACACAUUCUGGAUCAAAGCAGACAUGCGGCCGGCGCUCUGCGAUCCAAGGCACACUGGGGUCUUUCAUCCGGUGUUUUUAAAAAGGAGGAAACAAAAGGCUCAGAGGCAGGGCCCCAGGUGCGCUCGCCCGCGGGGGCUGCGGCGCGGACGACCGAAGAAAACCACGACUUCCUGGAAAAGUCUUCACCGUAAAUAUUAAUCUCUUUGGCAUGAAGAGGAAAACACUGCAGCUAAUUUUUCAUGGGAUAACAAAAAUAUAAACUGCAAUUUCUUUUAUUUUUUCCCUUUCGAUGGUCUUUUUAAACGAGGAGUAAAGAUUUCAACGCCAGGUCCAUUUUCCAAAUUUUGUACCAGAACCUUGAGGAUGCUUGUCUCUCGCGCGCUUCUCCGCAGACCGAACCCUCUCCGGAACUCAGAGCUGUUCACCCAAGUCAGCGGAGGAGGCCUCCUGGGACUUGAGCCUGAGGGUGGCGAAGAACCCUAGGCAGAGAUCAUCAACUUGGUACCGAUGAGUGACGCGGAGCUUGAACAUUCCAGCGACUUGCUCCAGGGCCACUCCCAGUUAAGAGGCUGAGUGUUAACUGCAAGAGGCUGAGUGUUAACUACGCCGUUGGCUCCAGGAACCGAACCGGGUUUGGAUACAGACCCAGUCACACCAUCCAUGAAAAGCUGUUUCUAUAAUAUGAAAAAUUGUUAAAUGACGCUUUAGUAAAAGCCAUUUAAAGAUCUUUUCUAAUAAAUUUUUCAUCUUUCCAAA